AUCCAUCUGACGAGUCCCAAAUAGGACGAAAUGCACAUCCUGGAU
rnacentral:hammerhead_ribozyme from 1 species